rnacentral:rRNA from 1 species
GAUAAACGCUAGCGGCAGGCUUAACACAUGCAAGUCGAGGGGCAGCAUAGAUUGUAGCAAUACAAUUGGUGGCGACCGGCGCACGGGUGCGUAACGCGUAUGCAACCUACCCGUCACAGGGGGAUAAUCCGGAGAAAUCUGGCCUAAUACCCCAUAACAUAUGGAUCGGCAUCGGUUCAUGUUGAAAUUUUCGGAGGUGACGGAUGGGCAUGCGUAGCAUUAGCUUGGUGGUGAGGUAACGGCUCACCAAGGCGACGAUGGUUAGGGGGACUGAGGGGUGUUCCCCCCACACUGGAAAUGAGACACGGACCAGACUGCUACGGGAGGCAGCAUUGAGGAAUAUUGUUCAAUGGGCGCAAGCCUGAACCAGCCAUGCCGCGUGCAGGAUGACGGCUCUAUGAGUUGUAAACUGCUUUUGUACGAGGGUAAAGUGGGUUACGUUUAACCUUUUGAAAGUAUCGUACGAAUAAGGAUCGGCUAACUCCGUGCCAGCCGCCGCCGUAA